UACGAAGGGGGCUAGCGUUGUUCGGAAUCACUGGGCGUAAAGGGCGCGUAGGCGGCUUUAUAAGUCGGGGGUGAAAGCCUGUGGCUCAACCACAGAAUUGCCUUCGAUACUGUAGAGCUUGAGACCGGAAGAGGUAAGUGGAACUGCGAGUGUAGAGGUGAAAUGCGUAGAUAUUGGGAGGAACACCAGUGGCGAAGGCGGCUCGCUGGACCGGUUCUGACGCUGAGGCGCGAAAGCGUGGGGAGCAAACGGG
rnacentral:rRNA from 1 species